GACGUAGGGUGCAAGCGUUGUCCGGAAUUAUUGGGCGUAAAGAGCUCGUAGGCGGUUUGUUGCGUCGGCUGUGAAAUCCCGAGGCUCAACCUCGGGUCUGCAGUCGAUACGAGCAAACUAGAGUGUUGCAGGGGAGACUGGAAUUCCUGGUGUAGCGGUGAAAUGCGCAGAUAUCAGGAGGAACACCGGUGGCGAAGGCGGGUCUCUGGGCAAACAACUGACGCUGGAGGAGCGAAAAGCGUGGGGGAGCGAACAGG
rnacentral:rRNA from 1 species